rnacentral:rRNA from 1 species
UACGUAGGGGGCGAGCGUUAUCCGGAUUUAUUGGGCGUAAAGCGUGUGUAGGCGGUUUAUUAAGUUUAAGAUUAAAGCCCGGAGCUUAACUUCGGUUCGCCUUAAAAACUGGUAGACUUGAGUAUGGUAGAGGCAAACGGAAUUUCUAGUGUAGCGGUGAAAUGCGUAGAUAUUAGAAGGAACACCAGUGGCGAAAGCCGUUUGCUGGGCCAUCACUGACGCUGAGGCACGAAAGCGUGGGGAGCAAAUA